rnacentral:sRNA from 1 species
ACUAAUUACAACCAUUAAGGGGCGGGGAAGCCUGCCCUCGAUUGACGAAUCAAGCCCGGACAGACUAUACGUUGGAUGGCCGUUCCCCAUCCGGCGCGAAAAGAGAGGCUUCUCAUCAAUCUUCGGGGGUAGCGCUGCUACCCCUCUUUUUUC